rnacentral:lncRNA from 1 species
GUUUGGUAUAAUAAAGGGUCUGCUAAAUAAUGUAAGGCUGAGAUAAAUUAGUCAUUUGGUCACACCAGUUUUUUGGCGAGGUUCGUUUUGUUCAGUCUUGGAUGUUCUUUGUUGUGUUUUGCAUUCUGUUGUUUGUUUUUUAAUCUUUCUCUUUUUUUGCCGUGGUUUUGUCAGUUUAUUAUUGACUUAUGUGUUUGAAUAAGCCUUUAGUAUCUUUCGCCUCUCUCUUCGGUCAAUUUGAUUAUGUGGGACAUACAGAUUUAGACCCAAACUUGUCUCUGAUUGUUUCGUGAUUAUUGCAGAUGUAAAUCAUACUAUAAAAUUGAGUAUGGAAAUGGGGAAUGUGUCAAGGAGACAACAACCCGACCAUAGAGCAGACAACAGCCGAAGGCCACCGAUAGAUCUUCAAUGUAGCGAGAAACUCCCGCACACGGAGGUGUCCGUCAGCUGGCCCCUAAACAAAUAUGUAUACUAGUUCAGUGAUAAUGGACGUCAUACUAAGCUCCGAAUUAUACACAAGAAACUAAAAUUAAAAAUCAUACAAGACUAACAAAGGUCAGAGGCUCCUGACUUGGGACAGGCGCAAAAUUGCGGCGGGAUUAAACAUGUUUUUUGAGAUCUCAACCCUCCCCUAUACCUGUAGCCAAUGUAGAAAAAACAAACGCGAAACAAUACGCACAGUAAAACUCAGUUUAAGAGAAGUCCGAGUCCGAUGUCAGAAUAUGAAACAAAAGAAAAUAAACAAAAUGACAAUAAUACAUAAAUAACAACAGACUACUAGCAGUUAUUGACAUGCCAGAACCAGACCUUAAUUAAACUGAUUGAAAGAUUAUGUCUUCAUCAUAUGAAUAUCAGGCACAAUCCCUCCUGUUAGGGGUUUAGUAUUAUACCGUCAUGAAAUAUACAACCCUCUUAUUUACAAUAUCAUUUGAUCAACAC